GGAGUUGUGGCUAAGUGGCAGAGUGCUCACCUAGCAUGCGUGAGGCAUUGAGUUUGAUCCUCAGCACCA
rnacentral:tRNA from 1 species